rnacentral:tRNA from 1 species
GCCGACGUAGCUCAGUUGGUAGAGCAGCGCUUUCGUAAAGCGCGGGUCGAGGGUUCAAUUCCUUUCGUCGGCU